AAGUCGUAACAAGGUCUCCGUUGGUGAACCUGCGGAAGGAUCAUUACCUAGAGUUGUAGGCUUUGCCUACCAUCUCUUACCCAUGUCUUUGAGUACCUUCGUUUCCUCGGCGGGUCCGCCCGCCGAUUGGACAAACUUAAACCCUUUGUAAUUGAAAUCAGCGUCUGAAAAAACAUAAUAGUUACAA
rnacentral:misc_RNA from 1 species